CGCCCAACAGCUAGCCCACCUAAACAAUUUCAACAAACCCUUGUCAAUAACCCCUAAAUACCCCAGUAUUUAAAUUAAACAAACCAUUUUUCCCCCUUAGURUAGGCGAUAGAAAAGGGACUACGGCGCAAUAGAGAAAGUACCGCAAGGGAACGCUGAAAGAGAAAUGAAAUAACCCAGUAAAGCCCAAAAAAGCAGAGAUUCAACCUCGUACCUUUUGCAUCAUGAUUUAGCGAGUGUACCCCAAGCAAAGAGCACUUUAGUUUGACGUCCCGAAACUACGUGAGCUACUCCAAGACAGCCUAUUAAUAGGGCGUACCCGUCUCUGUUGCAAAAGAGUGGGGAGAGCUUUGAGUAGAGGUGACAAACCUACCGAACCUAGUUAUAGCUGGUUGUCCAAGAAAUGAAUAGAAGUUCAGCCUCUUGGCUUCUCUUUUCACCCUAGUUUAACCCCUAUUGAUGCAUUAAAGAAACCGAGAGAGUUAGUCAAAGGGGGUACAGCCCCUUUGAAUCAAGACACAACUUUAUCAGGAGGGUAAAGAUCAUA
rnacentral:rRNA from 1 species